rnacentral:tRNA from 1 species
UAGAAGAUAGUAUAGUGGGCGUACAGGGAGUUUUGGAGUCUCAGGUGCCGGUUCAAUUCUGGCUCUUCUAU